rnacentral:rRNA from 1 species
GACGAACGCUGGCGGCGUGCUUAACACAUGCAAGUCGAACGGAAAGGCCCUGCUUUUGUGGGGUGCUCGAGUGGCGAACGGGUGAGUAACACGUGAGUAACCUGCCCUUGGCUUUGGGUUAACUUCAGGAAACUGGGGCUAAUACCGGAUAGGAGCUCCUGCUGCAUGGUGGGGGUUGGAAAGUUUCGGCGGUUGGGGAUGGACUCGCGGCUUAUCAGCUUGUUGGUGGGGUAGUGGCUUACCAAGGCUUUGACGGGUAGCCGGCCUGAGAGGGUGACCGGCCACAUUGGGACUGAGAUACGGCCCAGACUCCUACGGGAGGCAGCAGUGGGGAAUAUUGCACAAUGGGCGGAAGCCUGAUGCAGCAACGCCGCGUGCGGGAUGACGGCCUUCGGGUUGUAAACCGCUUUCGCCUGUGACGAAGCGUGAGUGACGGUAAUGGGUAAAGAAGCACCGGCUAACUACGUG